AUUAAAUUGGAAUUGGAAUAAUGGUCACCAGAAGGAACUCUAUGAUGAAGGCUUUCAAAUUGAAGAGGAAUCUUAUAAGGUUGCCCCCAUUCUACCACCCACCAGAUAAUAAGCCCCAAAUAGAUUCAACUUUAUCAUUCUCCUUUGCAUCCUAUUCUCCCUUUUCUUCAUUGAUUGCUAUGGCUAGGAAAGGAAAAUUGAAAAGAAGGGGUGGCAUGAGAAAACAACCAUAUUCGAGAGACUGUGAGUCAUUUACAUCUCCUGAUAACAGACAAGGUGGUGGAAAAGGUAGCCCUAACAGUCAACAAAAAGAGAAGCAACAUUCAGUCAUCGUCCAUCUCACCACCAUUUUCAGGAUGUUACUGAUCAAUUCAACGCUUUGAACUCAAAUAUGGAAAAAGUCAUCAUUGUUGUUGGUGUGUUGAGUCAAGCUUGGUUAAGAAAUUCUCACCAAAAUACUCCGUAUGACACGCCUACUUGUGACAUUGAAAGGAUGGCUGAAACUGAAGCUAUUCUUCAAAAGUUUAUGAACUCUGGGAGUGACCAAAGAAGACUGUUUACUGGGACUGAUGACAUAACUAUGGAAAAAGAUAAAAGAUUGGUUAAGAAACUAUUCACUCCUCCUGAAACAGCACCUGAAGACUCAUUUUGGGCUCCUGAAUGGUUAAUUAACUGCAAUGUUUGGACCAAGAAAUAUUUUCGCUUUGAACUGUACUGAAGCAGCUGUGGCCUUAUACAUUUUUAAGACAACAAACAUUGAUUAAUCUGACAUGCUGAAGUUAUUCAUCAAACCGUUGAGUGGUAAAACUUUUGGGACUCGAAAGAAUAUGAUGUGCUUAAAAACAAGGGGUCUUGUUGAACAGGAGGUGAGAAUUUUAAAUAAAUUGUAAUAUAUGAAUUCAUGAUUUGUAAUUUUAAUUGUUAUCCAGUAGAUUCUUAAUUUAGUUGUGUGCAUGUUGACACACGAUGAGCGGUUGAACCAUCAAUACCCAUCUGAUUGGUUUCUACCAACUACAUUUGCUAAAUUUGUACUAUCUUGGAAUGCACCUCCAACUAGUCUGAAACAGAAUGACCAACAAGAUUAUAUGGGGAAACUUGACUUCGUUACCAAGGUGAGAUCAACUAUGGAGAAUUCUAUAGGGUGGGUUGAAUCAAGAGACAAAAGAUUGUGGAAGCUGAUCAACGAGCUAAAUCAAAUUGAUAUAUUGAUGAUCGAAAGAAGUCAAUUGUCUGGGAAUAAGACAUACCUACAAGGAAGGUAACACUGUUGCAGAUUCUCUAGCAAAUAAGGGGUGUGAAAUCACCGAUUCUAUUUGGGUGCUUUUAGAGGAGAGGAGGGUCGAUGAUUGAGGAUGUUAAUUGAGACUAGCUGUCUGCGUUUUUUUACAGGGAUGUAAUACCCUGCCUCGGUUUUAUAAUACCAUGACUUAAUUAAACAUUGUAUUUGGUUGUUUCUGUCUUGAGCUUGCCUAUAGGCUCAUGAUCUGCCUUUCUUUUCUAGUCUGUACC